GACAGAGGUUGCAAACGUUGUUCGGAAUCACUGGGCAUAAAGCGCACGUAGGCGGUCUGUUAAGUCAGGUGUGAAAGCCCCCGGCUCAACCGGGGAAUUGCAUUUGAUACUGGCAGGCUCGAGAACGGUAGGGGUGAGUGGAACUCCAGGUGGAGCGGUGAAAUGCGUAGAUAUCUGGAGGAACACCGGUGGCGAAAGCGGCUCACUGGACCGUCACUGACGCUGAGGUGCGAAAGCUAGGGUAGCAAACGGGG
rnacentral:rRNA from 1 species